rfam:Tetraodon nigroviridis, WGS project CAAE01000000 data, contig: CNS0BZ4F, chromosome: 11
GUCGGCUAUGGAGACAUGCACCCGGUGACCAUCGGGGGCAAAAUCGUCGGCUCGCUCUGCGCCAUCGCGGGCGUGCUGACCAUCGCCCUACCCGUGCCAGUCAUUGUGUCCAAU